GAAACAUGUCUAUUUACAACAACAACUUCAACUACUACCAUGAUGCCAACGACAUCUAACAACGAUAGCAGCAAUACUAACCCAUCAACAGGCGAAAGUUCUUCAGGGGGUAGUAAUACAGCAGCAGUGGUUGGUGCUGUCCUGUCAAUUCUAUUGCUGAUAGCUAUAAUUAUUAUUGCUUUCCUCAUAUACCAGAAAUACUUCAAAGGAAAGAAAUCACAAAUUCAACAUAGGCAGUCACUCAAAGGAAAUUGCACCGAUAUAAAGCAGCCUCUACCACCAGAUUCAGAUUUUACUCUUUCUGAAUUAAAUUUGAAGAGAGAACCAACCAUGUCGGAUGAUUUAGUCGUAGACUCUUUAUCACCACGUGACAAAGCAAUACCAAUGGAACAAUUCAGCCAUAGAAAUUACUUAUGAUGUUAAAGACAUUUAUAUUUUUGUAAUUGAUUUUAUAAUAACUGUUUUUAAUUGUUAACUUUUAACAUUUAAUGCAUGCGUGUGUCUUUUGUUAAUGUUUUUUUUUAUAUCUAUAAAUGUUAAUUAUAUGAAAAUAAAAAAAAUAUAUUGAAACAAA